AGACCAUGAUGUGGACACUUCCUCUACAAUUCUUUAAACCUCUCCUACACUUUAUAGAUAUUCAUAAUGAAACUGAACAAAACUGGUAAUAUCAUUUCUAAGUUU